rnacentral:sRNA from 1 species
CGGACAGUGUUCGUCCCAUCCGGAGAGGAUCGCUUUCUCCUGGCGUCACCAGCGCUGGGUUGGUGGGGGUAGCUUUUCCCUCUUUGCUCCUCCAUUCUUGAAGAAAGAAGAAGAUGCCACUGCCAUUUGGGUUGAAACUGAAACGCACCCGGCGCUACACGGUGUCCAGCAAGAGUUGCCUGGUUGCCCGGAUCCAACUGCUUAAUAACGAGUUUGUGGAGUUCACCCUGUCCGUGGAGAGCACUGGCCAGGAAAGCCUCGAGGCCGUGGCCCAGAGGCUGGAGCUGCGGGAGGUCACUUACUUCAGCCUCUGGUACUACAACAAGCAAAAUCAGCGCCGGUGGGUAGAUUUGGAAAAACCUUUGAAGAAGCAGCUGGAUAAAUAUGCAUUGGAACCUACUGUCUAUUUUGGAGUGGUGUUUUAUGUGCCUUCAGUUUCUCAGCUGCAGCAGGAGAUUACCAGGUAUCAGUAUUAUCUGCAACUGAAGAAAGAUAUCUUGGAAGGAAGUAUUCCUUGUACCUUAGAACAAGCAAUUCAGCUAGCAGGCUUAGCUGUUCAAGCGGAUUUUGGUGACUUUGAUCAGUAUGAAUCCCAGGACUUUCUUCAGAAAUUUGCCUUGUUUCCUGUGGGAUGGUUACAAGAUGAAAAAGUACUGGAAGAAGCAACCCAAAAAGUGGCCUUACUACAUCAGAAAUACAGAGGGCUCACAGCUCCUGAUGCUGAAAUGCUGUACAUGCAGGAGGUAGAGAGAAUGGAUGGCUAUGGAGAAGAGAGCUACCCUGCUAAGGAUAGCCAAGGAAGUGACAUAUCCAUUGGAGCGUGUCUUGAAGGUAUCUUUGUGAAACACAAGAAUGGAAGGCAUCCUGUGGUAUUUAGGUGGCAUGACAUUGCCAACAUGUCCCACAACAAGUCCUUUUUUGCAUUAGAGCUGGCAAAUAAAGAGGAGACCAUCCAGUUUCAAACUGAAGACAUGGAAACAGCAAAAUACAUUUGGAGACUCUGUGUUGCGCGACACAAGUUUUACAGACUAAACCAUUGUAACCUGCAAACUCAGACUGUCACAGUGAACCCAAUCAGGAGGAGGUCUUCUUCAAGGAUGUCUCUGCCUAAACCCCAGCCCUACGUGAUGCCUCCCCCACCGCAGCUGCACUAUAAUGGACAUUAUACAGAACCAUAUGCUUCUUCUCAAGAUAAUCUCUUUGUGCCCAACCAGAACGGAUACUACUGUCACUCUCAGACAAGCUUGGAUAGAGCCCAGAUUGACCUCAACGGUCGGAUCCGUAACGGCAGUGUCUACAGCGCACACAGCACCAACUCCUUAAAUAAUCCUCAGCCCUACUUGCAGCCCUCGCCGAUGUCAUCCAACCCUAGCAUCACCGGGAGUGACGUCAUGAGGCCUGACUAUCUCCCGUCCCAUCGGCACAGCGCCCUGAUACCCCCGUCCUACCGCCCCACCCCAGACUAUGAGACUGUGAUGAAGCAGCUCAACAGGGGCCUGGUGCAUGCGGAACGGCAGAGCCACUCGCUGCGAAACCUCAACAUCGGCAGCUCGUACGCCUACAGCAGGCCCGCGGCGCUAGUCUACAGCCAGCCCGAGAUCCGCGAGCACGCACAGCUCCCCUCGCCGCCGGCCGCGCCCUGCCCGUUCAGCCUGAGCUACAGCUUCCACAGCCCGUCUCCCUACCCCUACCCUGUCGAGCGGCGGCCCGUGGUGGGCGCGGUCAGCGUGCCCGAGCUGACCAACGCGCAGCUGCAGGCGCAGGACUACCCGGCCCCCAACAUCAUGCGGACGCAGGUGUACCGGCCACCCCCACCCUACCCGCCCCCCAGGCCCGCCAACAGCACGCCAGACCUGUCCCGCCACCUUUACAUCAGCAGCAGCAACCCCGACCUCAUCACGCGACGCGUGCACCACUCGGUGCAGACGUUCCAGGAGGACAGCCUGCCCGUGGCGCACUCGCUGCAGGAGGUCAGCGAGCCCCUCACCGCCGCGCGCCACGCGCAGCUGCACAAACGGAACAGCAUCGAGGUGGCCGGGCUCAGCCACGGCCUGGAGGGCCUGCGGCUCAAGGAGCGGACCCUGUCCGCGUCGGCGGCAGAGGUGGUGCCGCGAGCCGUCUCGGCGGGCUCCCAGCCCAGCGUUUUCACCGAGAGGACACAGCGGGAAGGGCCGGAGGAGGCGGAGGGCUUGAGAUACGGCCAUAAGAAGUCCCUGUCGGACGCCACCAUGCUAAUCCACAGCAGCGAGGAGGAGGAGGACGAGGACUUCGAGGAGCAGAGGGGGCCCCGGGCGCCCCCUGCACGUGCGUGCAAGCCUCGGCCCGGCCUGGCCCAGGACCCACCUGGCUGCCCUCGUGCCCUGCUCGCCGGGCCCCUGCACAUCCUGGAGCCCAAGGUCCACGUCCCGGACGCGGAGAAGAGGAUGAUAGACAGCAGCCCCGUCCGCACGACCGCAGAGGCCCAGCGGCCCUGGAGAGACGGGCUGCUGAUGCCCUCCAUGUCGGAGUCCGACCUCACCACGUCGGGCCGCUACCGAGCCCGGAGGGACUCUCUGAAGAAGAGGCCGGUGUCGGACCUCCUCUCUGGGAAGAAGAACAUCGUGGAAGGGCUCCCGCCUCUGGGGGGAAUGAAAAAGACUCGAGUAGAUGCAAAAAAAAUUGGUCCUCUUAAACUGGCUGCCCUAAAUGGACUCUCCUUAUCUCGAGUGCCUCUGCCUGAUGAAGAAAAGGAAGUGGCUACCAGAGCAACGAAUGAUGAAAGGUGUAAAAUUCUGGAACAACGAUUAGAACAAGGAAUGGUAUUCACAGAAUAUGAAAGAAUUCUUAAGAAACGGCUAGUUGAUGGGGAGUGCUCAACAGCACGACUCCCUGAAAAUGCAGAAAGAAAUCGAUUCCAAGAUGUUCUUCCUUAUGAUGAUGCGAGAGUGGAGUUGGUCCCAACUAAAGAAAACAACACUGGUUACAUCAACGCAUCACAUAUUAAGGUCUCUGUCAGUGGAAUCGAAUGGGAUUAUAUUGCCACACAGGGACCAUUACAGAAUACCUGUCAAGAUUUUUGGCAGAUGGUAUGGGAACAGGGAAUUGCAAUUAUAGCAAUGGUGACAGCAGAAGAGGUAGGUACUCAUUUCUCUUAAGUGAUUUUCUCAGCCUCUGAAGAACAGUUAAUGUUAAUCAUCUAGAAUCCUGACCUGUGGAGAAAAAGGCAGGGUAGGGUUGUGGUUCUGUUUCAGAUGUGCCAUCUAUGUGAGAAAGGCAUCCAUUGCCGGGUCUCAAGUCAUUUAACCAUGCUUAUCUUUAACAGGAGGGUGGAAGGGAGAAGAGCUUUAGGUAUUGGCCACGACUUGGUUCCAGGCACAACACUGUCACCUAUGGAAGGUUUAAGAUCACGACCCGGUUCCGCACAGACUCUGGCUGCUAUGCCACCACGGGCCUGAAGAUGAAGCACCUCCUUACCGGGCAAGAAAGGACCGUCUGGCACCUUCAAUACACAGACUGGCCUGAACAUGGCUGUCCAGAAGACCUCAAGGGAUUUUUAUCAUAUCUUGAAGAGAUCCAGUCUGUUCGACGCCAUACAAAUAGCACAAGUGAUCCCCAAAGCCCCAACCCUCCAUUGUUGGUUCACUGCAGUGCUGGGGUAGGAAGGACUGGUGUGGUGAUUUUGUCGGAGAUCAUGAUCGCCUGCCUGGAACACAAUGAGGUGCUGGACAUCCCAAGAGUGCUGGACACGUUGAGGCAACAGAGAAUGAUGCUGGUGCAGACUCUCUGCCAGUACACGUUUGUGUACAGAGUCCUCAUCCAGUUCCUGAAAAGCUCCAGGCUCAUCUAAGCUCCCACAUUUCUUACGGGGCCAGUCAUGUGAAGCGUUUACAGCUUAAAAAAAAAGCGCUUGCCUAACUCAUACUUUCCCGUUAACACUUGAUCCACGCAGCGCGGCACUGGGACGUAAGUGGCGCAGUCUGAAUGGCAGCGCGCUGAAGGAAAUGUGCGAAGCACAGGCUGAAGAGGGG